GGUGGUGUAGCUCAGUGAUAGAGUACAGAGUACUUACCUAGCAUGUGUGAGGCCCUAAACCUGGGUUCCAUCUCCAGUACCACCA
rnacentral:tRNA from 1 species